AGUGAACGCUGGCGGUAGGCCUAACACAUGCAAGUCGAACGGCAGCACAGUAAGAGCUUGCUCUUACGGGUGGCGAGUGGCGGACGGGUGAGGAAUACAUCGGAAUCUACUUUUUCGUGGGGGAUAACGUAGGGAAACUUACGCUAAUACCGCAUACGACCUACGGGUGAAAGCAGGGGAUCUUCGGACCUUGCGCGAUUGAAUUAGCCGAUGUCGGAUUAGCUAGUUGGCGGGGUAAAGGCCCACCAAGGCGACGAUCCGUAGCUGGUCUGAGAGGAUGAUCAGCCACACUGGAACUGAGACACGGUCCAGACUCCUACGGGAGGCAGCAAUGGGGAAUAUUGGACAAUGGGCGCAAGCCUGAUCCAGCCAUACCGCGUGGGUGAAGAAGGCCUUCGGGUUGUAAAGCCCUUUUGUUGGGAAAGAAAAGCAGCAGGUUAAUACCCCGCUGUUCUGACGGUACCCAAAGAAUAAGCACCGGCUAACUUCGUG
rnacentral:rRNA from 1 species